rnacentral:misc_RNA from 1 species
UUGUGGAGGAGGACGCCGAAGGUGGGGCUAAUGACUGGGGUGAAGUCGUAACAAGGUAGCCGUACCGGAAGGUGCGGCUGGAUCACCUCCUAACAGGGAGACAACAAAAUGUUUAAUAUUAUUAUUUUGUCACCUUAGGUCGAUCGGUAUCUCACGUUUUUAAUUUAUUGAGAAUUUCAUUUCCUAAGUUUUUCUAGGUCACACCCAUUAUUUUUCCUGGGCCAUUAGCUCAGGUGGUUAGAGCGCACCCCUGAUAAGGGUGAGGUCCCUGGUUCAAGUCCAGGAUGGCCCAUAUCUCUAUGUUGGGGGUAUAGCUCAGUUGGUAGAGCGCCUGCUUUGCAAGCAGGAUGUCAGCGGUUCGAGUCCGCUUACCUCCACUGAUCACCACCUCUUCCAUAAUCGGUAGAAAGGAAAUUUUUUGAGUUGUGAUCAAAUUCUGAAAGAAUCGAAUCUAGCUUCCUAAUGAAAUCAUUAAGAUGCUGGACUCAUUGAAUUAAUUUCAUUGUUUUCAGAGAACCUUGACAACUGCAUAGAUUAUUUUUAAAGACAAUAAGCAUCUUUAAUGAUGCAGAUUUAUUAUUUGUGCAAAUGCAUUAAUAACAAUUCUAUUAAGCUGAUGCUUCAAUAUUUGAAGUUAUUGGUCAAGCUACAA